UUCCCCAGCCCACGCCUGAGCAGAUGGCACACCUGCCACCCCUUCAUGGAGUCUCCCGGACCUUGGGGCCCAGCCGGAAGCUGGGGUGGUGGGGUCUGCCCCCCUCUUAGAGAAUUUGUCAGUGCCAGACUUCAAGUCCUGGCCCUACCUCACAGGGCCUCUGUCCUGGGUUGCCCUCUCCACCUCCUGCUGGCCAGCCAGCCCCAGCCCAGGCCAUUCAGAGAGACACCACAAAGGCUGCACCUGCAGAUACCACCCAGGUCCGUUCCCUGAUUUCACACAGGAGGCAUCAGCCACGUGGCAGAGGUGGCAGCUCCUCAGAAGAACCCAAAUCUCUGGCUUUGGAUGAAACUGUAGCUCUAUGAUGGACUGUCCCCUUGGGCUGCCACGACCUGCUGCCCAGGCUGUGCACUGCACCACUCCGUCUGCCAUAGGUGUAGCAGCCUGCAGCCUUGCUCUACAUUGUCACUGAUAAGUAGUCAUUAUUCUCUCCCUGUCUGCAUAUAUAAUCCUCAUUUUCAGUUGUGUACACGGAGAAAAGGGAGGAGUCCUCCUCAUGGCCUUGGGGGGACCCACAGGAACUCUCCCUAACUCCCCCACUGACACCUACUUUCUCGGUAGGCCUAGAUGGCUGACCUGAGAGCUCCGGGGUCAGACGCCCUUCCUCACCCCAGGAACAUGGAGCUGCCAGGCGGAGUGGGCUUCUGUUUACUGCCUUGGGCUAAAGACGCAUGUCAGCAAUUGGCGAAGCACAGGGAAGCUGCAGCUCAACUCGCUAGACUGGCAAAUGCACGCUGCGCCCUCCUCUCACUAUAAGGAUGUAAAACAACCAUUUCUUUAUACUCAGAAACCAGAACACUUCCCUCUGCCAGGUCCUCCUGCCUCCCCCUGCUCAGCCCUAAGGGGCUCCCAGAAUGCCGUGGGGCCUAUGGCAAUGGGGAAGAAAACUGAAGGGGAAAUGGAGAGCCACCCUGGGACAGUGGGGGGCAGAAGCAUUAUUAAGUACCUGCUGUAUGCUGGCCCUUAACUGUUUUUCAUCUAAUUAUCAAAAUAGCCCUGUGAACGGAAGUCAGAAGCCCAGGGGACAGAAGGAGCACGGUUCGAAUCCCGGCUCUGUCCCUCAUCAGCUGGAGACUUGGGAGAGUUACUCGUCUAUAAAAUGGAAAUAAUAAUGGUAACUACCUCCACAGGGCUGGUGUGCAGAGUCCAUGAAGCCACCCACUGCAGGGCGAGAGUGGGGCAAGGACGAGCGGUGGUGAGCUGGGGAGGAGAGACCCUGGUUCAGCCUUGGGGUCCUCUGGAACUGCCGAUCUGCCUCCGGGAGUCCGCUCUCCAGGCGGAGGGCUGGACCCUGCCGUGCCGGUGUUAACUCGCCUUCUGGCCGCUGGCCGGUGAGUGGGAGGAGGAGAGCGCCGGGUGAAGCGGGGUGAGGACUCUCCAGCAAGUGCUCCCUCCAUCUGCCGUCCGCCCAGAGCCUCAGAGCCCCGGAUCGCAGCCUCCCUCCUGGCCGAGCCCCCAACACCCGCGGCGCGCCCCUCGGAGCAAUUACAUAACGAAGCCUCCGGUGCGCCUUUGUUAUCGCCCUCUGCCGCGGCAGUGGCCCCGCGAGUAUUAAUAAACCGAUCACUCAAAACGCCA